GAGCGGGAUAUCGCUUCUAAAGGAGAGCUAUGACCGCAUAUGCUCUCUUUGAGUUGGUAUUGGUGAGAAAAGGCUGAGGUGCUUGAAGAUGGGGCUGCGGUCCAUCAGCUAGUUGGUGGGGAAAGAGCCUACCAAGGAGACGACGAAUAAGGGGCCUGAUAGGGUGGGCCCCCACACUGGGACUGAUACACCGCCCACACUCCUACGGGAGGCAGCAGUGAGGAAUAUUGCACAAUGGGCGCUAGCCUGAUGCAGCGACCCCGCGUGGGUGAAGAAGGUUUUCGGAUCGUAAAGCCCUUUUCUGUGUGACGAGAAAGGACGGUAGCACAGGAAUAAGUCUCGGCUAACUACGUACCAACCAUCGCCUAACUCCGUGCCAGGCAAGCGUUAUCCGGAGUUACUGGGCGCAAAGAGCGUGUAUCGCGGGGAUGCAAGUCCGUUGUGAAAGCUCCCAGAUUAACUGGGAGAGGUCAGUGGAGACUGCAUACCUAGAGAGCAUUACAGGGAAGCGGAAUUCCGGGUGUAGUGGUGAAAUGCAUAUAUAUCCGGAGGAACAC
rnacentral:rRNA from 1 species